CCUACGGGAGGCAGCAGUGGGGAAUAUUGGACAAUGGGCGCAAGCCUGAUCCAGCCAUACCGCGUGGGUGAAGAAGGCCUUCGGGUUGUAAAGCCCUUUUGUUGGGAAAGAAAAGCAGUCGGCUAAUACCCGGUUGUUCUGACGGUACCCAAAGAAUAAGCACCGGCUAACUUCGUGCCAGCAGCCGCGGUAAUACGAAGGGUGCAAGCGUUACUCGGAAUUACUGGGCGUAAAGCGUGCGUAGGUGGUUGUUUAAGUCUGUUGUGAAAGCCCUGGGCUCAACCUGGGAAUUGCAGUGGAUACUGGGCGACUAGAGUGUGGUAGAGGGUAGUGGAAUUCCCGGUGUAGCAGUGAAAUGCGUAGAGAUCGGGAGGAACAUCCAUGGCGAAGGCAGCUACCUGGACCAACACUGACACUGAGGCACGAAAGCGUGGGGAGCAAACAGGAUUAGAUACCCUGGUAGUCCACGCCCUAAACGAUGCGAACUGGAUGUUGGGUGCAAUUUGGCACGCAGUAUCGAAGCAAACGCGUUAAGUUCGCCGCCUGGGGAGUACGGUCGCAAGACUGAAACUCAAAGGAAUUGACGG
rnacentral:rRNA from 1 species